rnacentral:rRNA from 1 species
UACGAAGGGAUCUAGCGUUGUUCGGAUUUACUGGGCGUAAAGGGCGCGUAGGCGGUCUGAUAAGUAGGGUGUGAAAGCCCCGGGCUUAACCCGGGAACUGCAUCCUAAACUAUCAGGCUUGAGUGUUGGAGAGGUAAGUAGAAUUCCCAGUGUAGAGGUGAAAUUCGUAGAUAUUGGGAAGAAUACCAGUGGCGAAGGCGGCUUACUGGACAACAACUGACGCUGAGGCGCGAAAGCGUGGGGAGCAAACAGG